AAGGGUUAAGUUAUACUUAUAUGGUAAAAAGGCAGUUAGGCUUAAAUAUAAGAGUAUAUUAAUUUUUUUAUAAAAAGGUAAAAUUUGAAUAUAAGAAAUAAAUCUAAUAAUUUCUCAAGAGUUGAAGCUGCGAUAGUUUUGAGGGAAACUGGGAUUAGAUACCCCAUUAUUCUUAACUGUAAAUUGAUUGAAUUUACCAGAGUACUAUGAAUUUUAUGUAAUUUAAAACUCAAAGGGCUUGGCGGUGUUUUAGACCUCUUAGGGGAACCUGUCUCAUAAUCGACAAUCCACGUUAAACCUGUCCUUUAUUUUGCAGAUCAGUUUGUAUACCGUUGUCGUCAGGUAACUUUUGAAAAUUUAGAAGUUAGCGAAAUUAAUAUAUAAAUUAGGACGUCAGAUCAAGGUGCAGCUAAUAAAAAGGAGCAGAUGGGUUACAAUUAUUUAAGUUGUAAUUACGGAUUAUUAUAUGAAAUAAUUUUAGGAAGGAGGACUUAAAAGUAAAAUAUAUUAUAUAAACAAUUUGAAUUAGGCUCUGAAACGUGC
rnacentral:rRNA from 1 species